AGUGAACGCUGGCGGUAGGCCUAACACAUGCAAGUCGAACGGCAGCACAGUAAGAGCUUGCUCUUACGGGUGGCGAGUGGCGGACGGGUGAGGAAUACAUCGGAAUCUACUUUUUCGUGGGGGAUAACGUAGGGAAACUUACGCUAAUACCGCAUACGACCUACGGGUGAAAGCAGGGGAUCUUCGGACCUUGCGCGAUUGAAUGAGCCGAUGUCGGAUUAGCUAGUUGGCGGGGUAAAGGCCCACCAAGGCGACGAUCCGUAGCUGGUCUGAGAGGAUGAUCAGCCACACUGGAACUGAGACACGGUCCAGACUCCUACGGGAGGCAGCAGCGGGGAAUAUUGGACAAUGGGCGCAAGCCUGAUCCAGCCAUACCGCGUGGGUGAAGAAGGCCUUCGGGUUGUAAGGCCCUUUUGCUGGGAAAGAAAAGCAGCAGGUUAAUACCCCGCUGUUCUGACGGUACCCAAAGAAUAAGCACCGGCUAACUUCGUG
rnacentral:rRNA from 1 species